rnacentral:rRNA from 1 species
ACAUGCAAGUCGAACGAACGCUGGGAUUGAGUGCUGCUUGUCUCAUGAUUUACAUUUGAGUGAGUGGCGAACUGGGGAGUAACACGUGGGAAACCUGCCCGGAAGCGGGGGAUAACACCUGGAAACAGAUGCUAAUACCGCAUAACAUCUUGGACCCCCUGGCCCGAGCUUGAAAGAUGGCUUCAGCUAUCACAUUUUGGAUGGUCCCGCGGCGUAUUACCUAGAUGGUGGGGUGACGGCUCACCAUGGCAAUGUACGUGGCCGACCUGAGAGGGUAAUCGGCCACAUUGAGACUGAGACACGGACCAAACUCCUACGGGAGGCAGCAGUAUGGAAUCUUCCACAAUGGACGAAAAUCUGAUGGAGCACCGCCGCGUGAGUGAAGAAGGAUUUCGGCUCGUAAAACUCUGUUGUUAAAUAAUAACAUAUCUGACAGUAACUGUUCAGGUAUUGACGGUAUUUAACCACAAAGCCACGGCUAACUACGUGCCAUCAGCCGCAGUAAUACGUAGGUGGCAAGCGUUGUCCGGAUUUAUUGGGCGUAAAUCAAGCGCACGCGGUUUUUUAGGUCUGAUGUGACAGCCUUCUGCUCAUCCGAAGAAGUGCAUCGGAAACUGGUAUACUUGAGUGCAGAAGAGUACAGUGGAACUCCAUGUGUAGCGGUGAAAUGCGUAGAUAUAUGGAAGAGACCUGUGGCUAAGGCGGCUGUCUGGUCUGUAACUGACGCUGAAGCUCGAAAGUAUGGGUAGCACACAAGAUUAGAUACCCUGGUAGUCCAUACCGUAAACGAUGAAUGCUAAGUGUUGGAGGGUUUCCGCCCUUCAGUGCUGCAGACUAACGCAUUAAGUCAUUACUCCCUGGGAGUACGGCCGCACGCUGAAACUCAAAGGCAUUUGACUGGAGUCCGCACAAGCGGUAGAACAUGUAGCUGUAACUUCGAAAUCUUCGACGAAGAUCUUAACAAGGAUUUGAGCUACUAUGCAAAUCUAAAAAAGUAGACGCUCGCUUCGGGACAUUGCAUGCCGGUGGUGCAUGGUUGACGUCAGCUC